rnacentral:rRNA from 1 species
CACGUAGGAGGCGAGCGUUGUCCGGAAUCAUUGGGCGUAAAGAGCGCGCAGGCGGCUUGGCAAGUCGGGUGUGAAAUCCCGGGGCUCAACCCCGUGACUGCAUUCGAUACUGUCAGGCUAGAGGUAGGUAGGGGAGAUCGGAAUUCCUGGUGUAGCGAUGAAAUGCGCAGAUAUCAGGAGGAACACCGGUGGCGAAGGCGGAUCUCUGGGCCUUACCUGACGCUCAGGCGCGAAAGCUAGGGGAGCGAACAGG